AGUGAACGCUGGCGGUAGGCCUAACACAUGCAAGUCGAACGGCAGCACAGUAAGAGCUUGCUCUUACGGGUGGCGAGUGGCGGACGGGUGAGGAAUACAUCGGAAUCUACUUUUUCGUGGGGGAUAACGUAGGGAAACUUACGCUAAUACCGCAUACGACCUACGGGUGAAAGCAGGGGAUCUUCGGACCUUGCGCGAUUGAAUGAGCCGAUGUCGGAUUAGCUAGUUGGCGGGGUAAAGGCCCACCAAGGCGACGAUCCGUAGCUGGUCUGAGAGGAUGAUAAGCCACACUGGAACUGAGACACGGUCCAGACGCCUACGGGAGGCAGCAGUGGGGAAUAUUGGACAAUGGGCGCAAGCCUGAUCCAGCCAUCCCGCGUGGGUGAAGAAGGCCUUCGGGUUGUAAAGCCCUUUUGUUGGGAAAGAAAAGCAGCAGGUUAAUACCCCGCUGUUCUGACGGUACCCAAAGAAUAAGCACCGGCUAACUUCGUG
rnacentral:rRNA from 1 species